UACGUAGGGUGCGAGCGUUGUCCGGAAUUACUGGGCGUAAAGAGCUCGUAGGUGGUUUGUCGCGUUGUUCGUGAAAACCGGGGGCUUAACCCUCGGCGUGCGGGCGAUACGGGCAGACUAGAGUACUGCAGGGGAGACUGGAAUUCCUGGUGUAGCGGUGGAAUGCGCAGAUAUCAGGAGGAACACCGGUGGCGAAGGCGGGUCUCUGGGCCGAUACUGACGCUGAGGAGCGAAAGCGUGGGGAGCGAACAGG
rnacentral:rRNA from 1 species